rnacentral:rRNA from 1 species
UACGGAGGGUGCGAGCGUUGUCCGGAAUCACUGGGCGUAAAGGGCGCGUAGGCGGCCUGAUAAGUAGGGGGUGAAAUCCUGCGGCUUAACCGCAGGGCUGCCUUCUAAACUGUCAGGCUAGAGCACGGUAGAGGCAGAUGGAAUUCCCGGUGUAGCGGUGGAAUGCGUAGAGAUCGGGAAGAACAUCAGUGGCGAAGGCGGCCAUCUGGGACAACACUGACGCUGAAGCACGAAAGCGUGGGGAGCAAACAGG